AACGAACGCUGGCGGCAGGCUUAACACAUGCAAGUCGAACGGUUGUAGCAAUACAGCAGUGGCAGACGGGUGAGUAACACGUGGGAACCUUCCUAGGGGUACGGAACAACUCAGGGAAACUUGAGCUAAUACCGUAUACGUCCGUGAGGAGAAAGAUUUAUCGCCCUUAGACGGGCCCGCGUAGGAUUAGGUAGUUGGUGGGGUAAUGGCCUACCAAGCCUACGAUCCUUAGCUGAUCUGAGAGGAUGAUCAGCCACACUGGGACUGAGACACGGCCCAGACUCCUACGGGAGGCAGCAGGUGGGGAAUCUUGGACAAUGGGCGCAAGCCUGAUCCAGCCAUGCCGCGUGAGUGAAGAAGGCCUU
rnacentral:rRNA from 1 species